UUGUCCUGUGACUGCGUACCUUUUGUAUAAUGGGUCAGCGACUUAUAUUCAGUGGCAAGGUUAACCAUCUAGGGGAGCCGUAGGGAAACCGAGUCUUAACUGGGCGUUCAGUCUCUGGAUAUAGACCCGAAACCAGGUGAUCUAGCCAUGGGCAGGUUGAAGGUUGAGUAACAUCAACUGGAGGACCGAACCGACUAAUGUUGAAAAAUUAGCGGAUGACUUGUGGCUAGGGGUGAAAGGCCAAUCAAACCUGGAGAUAGCUGGUUCUCCCCGAAAGCUAUUUAGGUAGCGCCUCGGACGAAUACUACUGGGGGUAGAGCACUGUUAAGGCUAGGGGGUCAUCCCGACUUACCAACCCUUUGCAAACUCCGAAUACCAGUAAGUACUAUCCGGGAGACACACGGCGGGUGCUAACGUCCGUCGUGGAGAGGGAAACAACCCAGACCGCCAGCUAAGGUCCCAAAUUACUACUAAGUGGGAAACGAUGUGGGAAGGCUCAGACAGCCAGGAUGUUGGCUUAGAAGCAGCCAUCAUUUAAAGAAAGCGUAAUAGCUCACUGGUCGAGUCGGCCUGCGCGGAAGAUGUAACGGGGCUAAGUAGUAAACCGAAGCUGCGGCAAUAUACUUUAGUAUAUUGGGUAGGGGAGCGUUCUGUAAGCGGUUGAAGGUGUGUGGUAACGCAUGCUGGACGUAUCAGAAGUGCGAAUGCUGACAUGAGUAACGAUAAAGGGGGUGAAAAACCUCCUCGCCGGAAGACCAAGGGUUCCUGUCCAACGUUAAUCGGGGCAGGGUAAGUCGACCCCUAAGGCGAGGCCGAAAGGCGUAGUCGAUGGGAAACGGGUUAAUAUUCCCGUACUUCUUACAAUUGCGAUGGGGGGACGGAGAAGGCUAGGUGGGCCUGGCGACGGUUGUCCAGGUUCAAGUGCGUAGGCUUAAGAGUUAGGUAAAUCCGGCUCUUUUUAAGGCUGAGACACGACGUCGAGCACCUACGGGUGUGAAGUCAUUGAUGCCAUGCUUCCAGGAAAAGCCUCUAAGCUUCAGAUUGUAAGGAAUCGUACCCCAAACCGACACAGGUGGUCGGGUAGAGAAUACCAAGGCGCUUGAGAGAACUCGGGUGAAGGAACUAGGCAAAAUGGUACCGUAACUUCGGGAGAAGGUACGCUCUCGACGGUGAAGUCCCUUGCGGAUGGAGCUAUUGAGAGUCGCAGAUACCAGGUGGCUGCAACUGUUUAUUAAAAACACAGCACUGUGCAAAAUCGUAAGAUGACGUAUACGGUGUGACGCCUGCCCGGUGCCGGAAGGUUAAUUGAUGGGGUUAGACUUCGGUCGAAGCUCUUGAUCGAAGCCCCGGUAAACGGCGGCCGUAACUAUAACGGUCCUAAGGUAGCGAAAUUCCUUGUCGGGUAAGUUCCGACCUGCACGAAUGGCGUAAUGAUGGCCACGCUGUCUCCACCCGAGACUCAGUGAAAUUGAAAUCGCUGUGAAGAUGCAGUGUACCCGCGGCUAGACGGAAAGACCCCGUGAACCUUUACUACAGCUUGGCACUGAACAUUGACCCUACAUGUGUAGGAUAGGUGGGAGGCUUUGAAGCACGUACGCCAGUAUGUGUGGAGCCGUCCUUGAAAUACCACCCUUGUAGUGUUGAUGUUCUAACGUCGACCCCUUAUCGGGGUUGCGGACAGUGCCUGGUGGGUAGUUUGACUGGGGCGGUCUCCUCCCAAAGAGUAACGGAGGAGCACGAAGGUGGGCUAAUCACGGUUGGACAUCGUGAGGUUAGUGCAAUGGCAUAAGC
rnacentral:rRNA from 1 species